rnacentral:ncRNA from 1 species
GGCUCUUAAGGGCAAAUCUAGUGAAAGCUAGAGACGCAAAGUUACCGGUCUAAGGGGAAACCUACGAUAGCGGGACUGCCAAA